rnacentral:rRNA from 1 species
GUGCCAGCCGCCGCGGUAAUACCGGCAGCCCGAGUGAUGGCCGCUAUUAUUGGGCCUAAAGCGUCCGUAGCUGGCCGAACAAGUCCGUCGGGAAAUCCACGUGCUUAACGCGUGGGCGGCCGGCGGAAACUGUUCGGCUUGGGGCCGGAGGACCCGAGGGGUACGUCCGGGGUAGGAGUGAAAUCCUGUAAUCCUGGACGGACCGCCGGUGGCGAAAGCACCUCGGGAAGACGGACCCGACAGUGAGGGACGAAAGCUAGGGUCUCGAACCGGAUUAGAAACCCGAGUAGUCC